GGCUGGUCCAAUGGUAGUGGGUUAUCAGAACUUACUAACAUUAGUGUCACUAAAGUUGAUAUACAACCCCCCACUGCUAAAUUUGACUGGCUUAAA
ensembl:Y_RNA Y_RNA Y RNA